AGAGUUUGAUCCUGGCUCAGAUUGAACGCUGGCGGCAGGCUUAACACAUGCAAGUCGAGCGGUAACAGGAGAAGCUUGCUUCUCGCUGACGAGCGGCGGACGGGUGAGUAAUACUUAGGAAUCUACCUAGUAGUGGGGGAUAGCUCGGGGAAACUCGAAUUAAUACCGCAUACGACCUACGGGAGAAAGGGGGCAACUUGUUGCUCUCGCUAUUAGAUGAGCCUAAGUCGGAUUAGCUAGAUGGUGGGGUAAAGGCCUACCAUGGCGACGAUCUGUAGCUGGUCUGAGAGGAUGAUCAGCCACACCGGGACUGAGACACGGCCCGGACUCCUACGGGAGGCAGCAGUGGGGAAUAUUGGACAAUGGGGGCAACCCUGAUCCAGCCAUGCCGCGUGUGUGAAGAAGGCCUUUUGGUUGUAAAGCACUUUAAGCAGUGAAGAAGACUCCAUGGUUAAUACCCAUGGACGAUGACAUAGCUGCAG
rnacentral:rRNA from 1 species